UACGGGGGGAGCAAGCGUUGUUCGGAUUUACUGGGCGUAAAGGGCGCGUAGGCGGUCAGCACAAGUCAGUUGUGAAAUCUCCGGGCUUAACUCGGAAAGGUCAACUGAUACUGUGCGACUAGAGUGCGGAAGGGGCAACUGGAAUUCCUGGUGUAGCGGUGAAAUGCGCAGAUAUCAGGAGGAACACCAAUUGCGAAGGCAGCUCGCUGGGACGUUACUGACGCUGAGACGCGAAAGCGUGGGGAGCGAACAGG
rnacentral:rRNA from 1 species